GUCAUUGGUCAUCACUCAUCACAUUUCAUUUUCAUAACAUAACCGAUAACCUAAAAAUUUAGUAAAAAAGCAAAAAUUUUGAUUGGAAAAAAAUGCAUCGAUAAGGGGAUGUGGGAAAUGGAAAUUAGUGGCUUUUUUGCUGUACUGUCUGCUAGUUUUUGCUCUGGGCACUGGCUAGAUCUCUUGUUUAAACAAUUUUAAUCAGCUGAAAGUGGCCUACAAAAAAAAACCAAGAAGGAAAUGUAUAGCCUUGUGGCUAUGAAAGGCAAAAGAGAGAUAUAAAAAGUGUAUUGGCUAGUUGGAAGAAAGUCCACAUUGUCCAUGCAUAAUAAGUUAUUACAUUAUCAACAAAUAUCAAGAAGAUAGCAGGGUCAGGAGCAUCAACUUCAUGAGUUCAAGAAUAUCGAGGAAAUCCAGCUCCUCGAUACUACUGGGCAAACUAGAAGAUUGAAGAGGACAAAUCCUUUUGAACUAGUUUGAGUGAUAGGUGAUAGUGAAAAACGGAGCAUAGUGCUUGUGUGCUGUGCCUGUGUAUAUUAGAAUAGUGCACGAUCUUGUUAGAUUAGAUAAGAGACGCUAUGGGGUAAGCUCUUCAUUUUAAGAAACAGUAGUAAUUUAGGCUAAAUUAAAAUUGCUCAUUGGUCAGUUAUGACCAGAUUGUUUUUUUAUGUUUGGCAAAAAGGACUUAAGUCAGAAUUGCACAUUGAUAAUGUUUUGAUGAUUUCUGGACCAGAAAAAAACUGUUGUAGAUGUAAACUGUAUGUACAGUAGAAUCUACUACAGUACUGUAGAAAUCAUCAAAACAUUAUCGAUGUGUAAUUCUGACUUAAGCCCUUUUUCCCAAACAUCAGAGAAUUGUAAUGUACAAUAAUUCUCCUAUCUGCUUUUUCAUGAAUUUUGUAGGAGACGAAAAACCAUUUUUAGGAUCAUCUGCUUUCACAUGUUUUGUAGUAAAUAGAUAGUUGAAUUUACUACAAAACAUGUCAAAAAAUAUAUGAAAACAGGAGGUGACUAUAAAAAAAGUUUUUAGUCUCUCUUACAAAACUCAUGAAAAAACAAAUCGGAGGUAUGUCACAUCAGUGACUAAGAAUGUCUAAAAAAUAUACUUUGAUGUCCCAAGAACCAAAUAUAACCUACAGUCCAUCUAAUUUACUUACUGUUGCACGUCAUUAUCUACGCCAGAGAUCUAAGUUGACAUAGUUGCCAAAGUAUAAAAAGAUCCUGAAUCCAUUUUAAAUCAAAUAUGUCACAUAAUUAUUGUAAACGUGGAUUAUACAACAAAACAAACUAAUAUUCAAUGUAAAUAAGUAAAAACUUAAGAAAUAGAGAACAAGAAUUAAGUUAUAAUCUUUUAAGAUUUGCAGUGCAAGAGUUUUUGCACUGCAUUGUUAAUAAUUAAAAAACGGCUCCGAACUCUUGGCAAAAAGCCGGUAGGUUUCUUUGUAUAAGUAUGUCUACAAUAACAACUAAAAAAGUUGUCAGAUACCUCGAUUAUUCCAAGUCGUUAUAAAAUUAGGUGAAAUUUAUAUUUUUAUAGUAGAGGAUCUUUUUAUAGUAAAGUAAAUAAUAAAAACAGUAAAUAUAAUAAAUAAAACAGAUACUUAUAGUAAAGAAUAUAAACAAAUAUGAAGUGUCAUCACCGUAACUGUCAAAUAAAUGUUACCAAUUUAUUCUAAAAUGUCACCUUCGUUCGAUUACAGUUACAGUGUGAUCCGAACAAAUCUGCUUCAUAAAAACGCUUUAUAAUCCAUUUAUACAAAUUAAAUGAAACAUAUUAUUGUGUAUUUCUUUAGGUUAACAUUAAUAGAAAUCUUCAAAUAUUAUUUCUACGCGUAUAUAAUAAAAUAUGUCUAGUGGCUGUAAUUCCAGUGUACUCGGCAAAGUGAUUCUAAAAAAGAACACACCUACCGCCUAAAUAUUUCGUGUUGGUAUCAUGCAACCUCACAGGCUACGACGCGGAUGACGCGCAACAGUUAGUAAAUUAGACGAAGUAUGUAGAUAUAUACAGGGUGUAACAAAAAUACAGGUCAUAAAUUUAAUCACAUAUUCUGGGACCAAAAAUAGUUUGAUUGGACCUAACUUACCUUAGUACAAAUGUGCACACAAGAAAAGUUACAGCCCUUUGAAGUUAUAUAUAUAUAUAUAUAUAUAAUAGCACCAAGGGUCUUAGAGGCCCAUGGCUUGAAAAGUUUGUUUUUUUUCUUCAUUUUCAUGUUUCUUUAUGUACUGAGAUCUUCUCUGGCUUGAUAUGUGAUUUUUCUCCAUUCCUUCCUGUUAUUCAUUUUUCUUUUCUGACCCUGUAGCACCAUUCUUUCCAAAUCUUUUUCGACCUCUUGCUUCCAUCUAUUUUUCGGCCUUCCUCUUCUCUUUCUUGAAGCUGUAGUGUAGUUUAGUACCAUUUUUGGAGUCCUCGUGUUUGGCAUCCUUUCAAUGUGACCUCGCCAUCUAAGUCUCUGUGCCUUUAUCAUUCAUUUGAAGUUACAAGAUGAAGUGAUUUUUUCCAAUAUAUCGAAAACUAUUAGAGAUUUUUUAUUGAAAAUGGACAUGUGGCAUUAUUAUGGCAGCA
rnacentral:lncRNA from 1 species